rnacentral:rRNA from 1 species
UACGUAGGGGGCAAGCGUUAAUCGGAAUUACUGGGCGUAAAGCGCGCGUAGGUGGUUUUGAUAAGUUGGAUGUGAAAGCCCCGGGCUCAACCUGGGAAUUGCAUCCAAAAACUGUCUGACUAGAGUAUGGCAGAGGGUGGUGGAAUUUCCUGUGUAGCGGUGGAAUGCGUAGAUAUAGGAAGGAACACCAGUGGCGAAGGCGACCACCUGGGCUAAUACUGACACUGAGGUGCGAAAGCGUGGGGAGCAAACAGG